rnacentral:misc_RNA from 1 species
AGCCACGACACGCGACAGCACGCGCCGAUGAGACCAGCCAGAGAAACCACCAUGAGGAACACGCCGAUUAUAAUCACAGGCGUGUCAAAGAACUUCUCGCAUUCAGAGGUACCAUGGUUUCGGAGCCAGAUCCCUGCUACGAGGAUCGGGAUGGACAGAAGAAAAGUGAGGAAGUUGAGGAUUCCAAUCAAAUUGUUGCUCAGACGAAACAUGGCUGGUGAAUUGGUGAGUCGGUGUAAUUAUCCCUAGUGUUUGUGUGAAGAGGAAGCGUGCGAAAGUGAGAGAAAGAUUAAAGACUCAGGAAAAAAA